GGCCUAAAACUCCGAGCGUUCCGUAAGCUGUCCCGUGGACGCCAACGGCUGUGUGGCCGUCGCAGCCUCGCACGCCCAGAGCAGGCUCCUCCGCCCCGCAGCAGAGCCCGUACGGUUCGCGGUCAGGGUCGUUCUCUCCGUCCGCGGCCACAGCUCGCGGGACGCUUCCCACCUCUGCGCGUGCUCUCCCGGACACUGAGGGCCGAGGGGUCCUGCGGCCGCGGCCCUGUGCGGCCCCGCGUGCCCCGCGCUGCUCCCAGGGGCUGCUGUCCCGAGCCCGCGCCUGCGCCCUGGGGUAGCCCCCCCCCCGCCCCCCCGCCGCGGCCCCCUGCGCCCGCGUCUGCGCCCUGGGGCCGCCUUCCUGCGCCUGUGCCUUGGGGCUGCGCCUGCGCCUCGGGGCCGCAGGCUGCUGGGUGGCGGCUGAGGCCGACGCCGUCCGUGUCCGCGCUCGCCCCGCGGGCCCCGUUGGCCCACCCGACGCCGCGCCGCCUCGCUGCUGACCGACGGGCCCCCGGCGGCGCUCGGCCGGGCCCCAGGGCCCCUCAGCCCUGCCGCCUCACCGGCCCCGCCGCGCCCCCCGCGGAGGCCUUGCCGUCCCUCCGUCCUUCCGGUCGCGCCCGGGCCACGUGGGCGCCACGCACUUCCGGUCGGAGGGUCCCAGGGCCACUGGCCAGAGGUGACGUGGGGGGGGCGGGGCAGGGGGCCCGCCGCCUGAGCGGCUCCCGGAGCCCGGCCCGACGGGGUGGAGGUCAGGGCGGUGCCCGGCCCGGGGCGGGUGGGGGGUGCCUGCUGGUGGACCCACGCACCCGCUCGUCCUCUUCCCUGACGCUCUCGCGUAGCCCUCGGAGUGCCCCGCCCUGGGCCGCCACCUGGCGCAGAGGCUCCCGAACACCUUGGUCCUCACGCCCUCUGAAGGAGCUGUAAAGAGGGACCGUCCUCGCGCGGUUUUUAAGGUCCUGAAGGUGUUUGUCGUAAGUUUGAAUACUUGCAAAGGAUCCAAUUUGGAGCAUAGUGUAAAUGUGUUAACAUUUCAAAAUGAAAGUUGAAUGUCUUUUGUGAAUGUGUACAAUCAAAUCUGAACACUGGUGGUUCAUAAUCCAUUAUUCCUUUUUUUUUUUAAGAUUUUAUUUAGAGAGAGAGCAAGCACGAGGCGGGGAGGGAAGAGGUGGGGGUGGAGGGAGACAAGCAGGGGAGAGGGCAGGAGGCCUGCCUUGGGGCUCGAUCCCAGGGCGCUGAGAACAUGACCCGAGACGAAGUCGGGUGCCGAACCCACUGAGCCACCCAGGAGCCCUCUAGGUCAGUCUGUGUUUAAACACAAUGAACUUUUUUUGUUUUUCUCCUUCAAAUCAAAGUUUCAUUUCAUUCCCCCACAAAUUUUACCUUGAUAUAAUUUAUAUUUAAAAGACCUCACUAAUCACCUUAUCACAUUUAUUUUUUUUAAACAUUUUUUUAAAAAUUUUUAUUUAUGAUAGUCACAGAGAGAGAGAGAGAGAGAGAGGCAGAGACACAGGCAGAGGGAGAAGCAGGCUCCAUGCAGGGAGCCCGAUGUGGGAUUCGAUCCCGAGUCUCCAGGAUCGCGCCCUGGGCCAAAGGCAGGCGCCAAACCGCUGCGCCACCCAGGGAUCCCACUUUUCUGCA
rnacentral:lncRNA from 1 species